rnacentral:lncRNA from 1 species
UAACAGUUAUUAGGUCCAACCCUAUCUUUACCCUGGAGCUACUCUUUGCUAAUAGAGUGGUUGCGUGUUUUCGAUGCAACUGAACCACUGUGACCAGCCAAGAACAAUCGAUGCCGGUAGCAUGUCUGCACAUCUAUAAUGGUGGAAGAUCAUUGGACUUAAUAUAUAUAGAGAAAUUUGAAUUUAGGUCUCAUCUAAUCAAUCAUCAUAUGACUGAUCUA